CUGGGGGGUGGAUGUUUACUUC
rnacentral:miRNA from 1 species